UCCCAGAGAACCAGCUGGGUGGUUUGAGCCUUGGACUAUGACUCUGGAGACCAGGGUUCAAAUCCCUGUUUGGGUA